UACAGAGGUCUCAAGCGUUGUUCGGAUUCAUUGGGCGUAAAGGGUGCGUAGGCUGCGCGGAGGGUGGGAUGUGAAAUCCCCCCGGCUCAACCGGGGAAUAGCGUCCCAAACCGCCGUGCUCGAGGGAGACAGAGGUGAGCGGAACUGAUGGUGGAGCGGUGAAAUGCGUUGAUAUCAUCAGGAACACCAGUGGCGAAGGCGGCUCACUGGGUCUUUCCUAACGCUGAGGCACGAAAGCUAGGGGAGCGAACGGG
rnacentral:rRNA from 1 species